AAAAACAAAAUAAAAAAAGAAUUUGAAAGUAAUACUGUGAUUCGUAAAUGUCUAACUAUUUUGUAGACUAGAAACAGUUUAUGAGUCCAUCUCUAAAAGCAUAAAAGUCUGGCAUAAAUGCAUUGCUAGUGAAAUAAAAACAAGCCAAAAUUGAAAAAAACAAUAAAACUGUAAUGAUAAAUUUAAAAAAAUUAAUUAAUAUGUGAUACAUGUACAAUCAAACCAAUAUUCACAUAUACAUUUUACAAAAUUGCUUGUUUUUUUAAAUUAAAAGAGAGAAAAAAAUAACUUUGUGAAAUUUCUUACAUAUUUAUAAAGUCUUUAAAUGAACGAAAUAAAAAUAUCACAUUCAUUGUAUUGCAUCCAUCAACAUAUUUAAACAAUGAUUUUUAUUCAUUCUAAUUGUACUUUUAUAUCUCAAAAAAAACUUCUGUUAUUAAGAAAAUAUGUCAACAAAGAUUUUGACACAAAUAUUACAGGUAUUAGAGACUUAGCAUGUAGGUCAUAGCAGGGUCUACAUCCACUUAAAAUUCUGAAAUAGGGGCCUAUUUCACAUGAAGAUUUUACAUGUUCAUAAAGUUCCUUUGGACACAUCGGCAGCAUGGAGAGGGGACUACUGUGUGGACGGUAUUGUUACGACCAUAACUAAUGUCCAUGCUUUCAUCUUGUUAUUUUUUUAAACUAAAAACUGAAGAAUAAAAUCCCAUUAUUGAACACCUCCAUUACUCUGUAGUGAACUGUUGAAGACAUUGAUCAAUUAGUAGUUUUAUAAAAUGGGAAUCAUAGACGCAUGUUGCAAUAAAUAUGAACUGUCGUAAAUUGAUUUUGUAAGUAAACUUAUAAAACUAUGGCUGUGAAGUGAAGUUGAAGUGAUUAAUAUGCAGAGCAGCUCAAAUUCAGUUCAUGCUGAAAAUAUGGUGGGAAAUCACAUAAAUGGCAUUAGAAAACCUGUUGUUUCAUUCUGUAGAAAAAAACAUUGUAGAAGAGGUGCCCUCCCCCUCUCCC